GCACCCUUAGCUCAGUUGGUAGAGCAGCUGACUCUUAAUCAGCGGGUCGUAGGUUCGAAUCCUACAGGGUGUA
rnacentral:tRNA from 1 species